rnacentral:rRNA from 1 species
CCUACGGGUGGCAGCAGUGGGGAAUAUUGGACAAUGGGGGAAACCCUGAUCCAGCGACGCCGCGUGAGUGAAGAAGUAUUUCGGUACGUAAAGCUCUAUCAGCAGGAAAGAAAAUGACGGUACCUGACUAAGAAGCCCCGGCUAACUACGUGCCAGCAGCCGCGGUAAUACGUAGGGGGCAAGCGUUAUCCGGAUUUACUGGGUGUAAAGGGAGCGUAGACGGCAUAGCAAGUCUGAAGUGAAAGCCCAAGGCUCAACCAUGGGACUGCUUUGGAAACUGUUAAGCUAGAGUGCUGGAGAGGUAAGCGGAAUUCCUAGUGUAGCGGUGAAAUGCGUAGAUAUUAGGAAGAACACCAGUGGCGAAGGCGGCUUACUGGACAGUAACUGACGUUGAGGCUCGAAAGCGUGGGGAGCAAACAGGAUUAGAUACCCUUGUAGUC